rnacentral:rRNA from 1 species
UACGUAGGGUGCAGGCGUUAAUCGGAAUUACUGGGCGUAAAGCGUGCGCAGGCGGCGCGUUAAGACAGGUGUGAAAGCCCCGAGCUUAACUUGGGAAUUGCGCUUGUGACUGGCGUGCUGGAGUGUGUCAGAGGGGGGUAGAAUUCCACGUGUAGCAGUGAAAUGCGUAGAGAUGUGGAGGAAUACCGAUGGCGAAGGCAGCCCCCUGGGAUAACACUGACGCUCAUGCACGAAAGCGUGGGGAGCAAACAGG